CUAACUCAUGCUAGUUGAGGGGUAACAGGGAAGAGCUUGCUCUUUCGCUGACGACCGGCGCACGGGUGCGUAACGCGUAUACAACCUACCUUUUGGAGGGGAAUAGCCCAGGGAAACUUGGAUUAAUGCCCCAUAGUAUGGGAAUAUCUCCUGAUAUUUUCAUUAAACAUUUAUGGCCAUUAGAUGGGUAUGCGUCCUAUUAGUUAGUUGGUAAGGUAACGGCUUACCAAGGCAGCGAUAGGUAGGGGUCCUGAGAGGGAGAUCCCCCACACUGGUACUGAGACACGGACCAGACUCCUACGGGAGGCAGCAGUGAGGAAUAUUGGACAAUGGGCGAGAGCCUGAUCCAGCCAUGCCGCGUGCAGGAAGACUGCCCUAUGGGUUGUAAACUGCUUUUACAGAGGAAGAACCACUCCCACGUGUGGGAGUUUGACGGUACUCUGCGAAUAAGGAUCGGCUAACUCCGUGCCAGCAGCCGCGGUAAUACGGAGGAUCCAAGCGUUAUCCGGAAUCAUUGGGUUUAAAGGGUCCGUAGGCGGGCAGUUAAGUCAGUGGUGAAAGUCUUCCGCUCAACGGGAGAACUGCCAUUGAUACUGAUUGUCUUGAGUUAUUAUGAAGUGGUUAGAAUGAGUAGUGUAGCGGUGAAAUGCAUAGAUAUUACUCAGAAUACCGAUUGCGAAGGCAGAUCACUAAUAAUAUACUGACGCUGAUGGACGAAAGCGUAGGUAGCGAACAGGAUUAGAUACCCUGGUAGUCUACGCCGUAAACGAUGGUUACUAGCUGUUCGGCCCGAUUAAGGGCUGAGUGGUUAAGCGAAAGUGAUAAGUAACCCACCUGGGGAGUACGUUCGCAAGAAUGAAACUCAAAGGAAUUGACGGGGGCCCGCACAAGCGGUGGAGCAUGUGGUUUAAUUCGAUGAUACGCGAGGAACCUUACCAGGGCUUAAAUGUAGUCUGACAGGAGUGGAAACACUUUUUUCUUCGGACAGAUUACAAGGUGCUGCAUGGUUGUCGUCAGCUCGUGCCGUGAGGUGUCAGGUUAAGUCCUAUAACGAGCGCAACCCCUGUGGUUAGUUGCCAGCGAGUAAUGUCGGGAACUCUAGCCAGACUGCCGGUGCAAACCGUGAGGAAGGUGGGGAUGACGUCAAAUCAUCACGGCCCUUACGUCCUGGGCCACACACGUGCUACAAUGGUAGGGACAGAGAGCAGCCACUUCGCGAGAAGGAGCGAAUCUACAAACCCUAUCACAGUUCGGAUCGCAGUCUGCAACUCGACUGCGUGAAGCUGGAAUCGCUAGUAAUCGCAUAUCAGCCAUGAUGCGGUGAAUACGUUCCCGGGCCUUGUACACACCGCCCGUCAAGCCAUGGAAGCCGGGGGUACCUGAAGUCGGUCACCGCAAGGAGCCGCCUAGGGUAAAWCUGGUAUCUUGGGUAAG
rnacentral:rRNA from 1 species